CCAUCACAAGCACUAGUGUACAAUCAUAUUAUCAGAUAACAAGGGCGAGUUUGGGCUCCGAUUACGUAAAUACAAAACAAGAAAAAAUACUGAUAACUGCAUAUUAAAAAGGGAAAGUGAUUUCAGUAAAGAGUUUACUCACAGGCGAGCCGUUUGACUGACAAGGAUCAGUUUUCCGAAGUUCGAACGGUUUCGAAAACUUAGGACUCGUGUUUCUUGUUGUCUCCCUUUGCCGUGAGUGAGAGGAGGAAAAAGUGGAUACAAGAAGAUUGAAAUAGAGAAGAAGUGGGCGGGAGGAAGAAAAUAGAAGAGAAGGAGAACGAGGAUAAAGGAAGAAACCAGCUAGAAAGACUGAAAGGUAGAAGUGGAGAAAGAAAUAGUAAGACAGGAAGAACGAGAAAAGUAUAACGACACGAUUCUCGAGAAAAGAAAAAGGAAAUAUUUAAAACAUCUAAGAUAUUCGCUCUUUGAAAUGGGUUACAAAGUCGGAGAAAUUCCCAUGGAAGUGGUAGACGUAUUGCAGAGUGACGAAGAAGAAAACAUAGAAAUAGUUGGUCACGAACACAACUUUUUCUUCGCCUUCAGAGGAGAGCCAUCUGUUGGCAAUGGAUAAGAAUUUUACCCUCGAAGGCAACUCUACCUUACCCAUAACGUCAAUGAUAGCCGAAGCACAGGAGUGAAGCAGCGUGAAUGCAGCGCUUCCUCUGACUCACUUGUUUACGCAGCUCCCGAAGCUUUCAAAAUAGACGUAUCGACGGUGAUGUGGAAGGUGUUACGUCUGCACUAACGACGUAUUUCUGUAAGGUUCAAUCAAAGUAUUACCGGUAUAGUGUUUGUUGAAUCUAUAGAGACUUGCGAAGUUUUAACUUUGCAGGAGGAAUGUAGGGGAUACGAGCGCAUUUUAUUAGAUACUUGGAAAGGGAUCACUAGUUAGAUCUGUGUAAAAUUUUGAAUUAUGAAACGGAUAUUUGCCAAAUGUUACAAAAUGAAACACUCAUUAAAGGUGAAUACAUUUUUGGUUGGUGUAUUAAAGAUGUGAAUAAAGGAUAAAAUCUA
rnacentral:lncRNA from 1 species